UUUAUAGUUAUAGGUGUAGUUUUCAGACGUUUCCAUGGUGGUGUGAGUGAACUAAUGAAUGCGAGAGAGUGGAGGUAGUGAUGAGAACGACAUUAAUGAGAUCAUUAUUGUGGUUGACUGAAUUCAGGGGGAGGGCGUUAUGUAAACCAACAGUUUUUGUUGGCUAAUUUGUUCCGACCAUACUUGAUCGAAGAAGAAAGACUUUUGGACCGAGAUUCUGAAAUAAUGAUAGGCCCAAACAAAUAAAUCAAAUGCAACAUGAGACUUUC
rnacentral:lncRNA from 1 species